rnacentral:rRNA from 1 species
CUGCGUGAGCGGACGAAAACAACAACACCUAAAAUGUGGAAUAUAGCAUAUAGUCGACAAGAGAAAUCUACGAAAAACAAACAAAACUUUCAACAACGGAUCUCUUGGUCUCGCAUCGAUGAAGAGCGCAGCGAAAUGCGAUACCUAGUGUGAAUUGCAGCCAUCGUGAAUCAUCGAGUUCUUGAACGCACAUUGCGCCCCUCGGCAUUCCGGGGGGCAUGCCUGUUUGAGCGUCGUUUCCAUCUUGCGCGUGCGCAGAGUUGGGGGAGCGGAGCGGACGACGUGUAAAGAGCGUCGGAGCUGCGACUCGCCUGAAAGGGAGCGAAGCUGGCCGAGCGAACUAGACUUUUUUUCAGGGACGCUUGGCGGCCGAGAGCGAGUGUUGCGAGACAACAAAAAGCUCGACCUCAAAUCAGGUAGGAAUACCCGCUGAACUUAAGCAUAUCA